AUGCACAUCGUCUCUCCUGUCGGUGAGAUGAGGGGAAGGACACAUCAGGUGGUGACUGAAGAAGGCAGGCGCCUCGUGGCUUCACUCAUCAGAACUCUGCACGAUUUCCACAGAGCUGGCAAGUGCCCCGAGCGAUUUUGCGCAUCAGACAUUGCCGUGACAUCUACUGGUAGGGUGAAACACACAAAUAUAAUCUUGCUACGAGGGAAGACCGAUGAACUGGUACUCAGAAACUACGAGGAUGCCCGCGAUAUUUUUGAGAAGACUGUGUUUGACGGGUAUGAUUCAGCUCUUAUCCUGAAGGCAUUAAACACUUGUUGCAGCUGA
rnacentral:rRNA from 1 species